rnacentral:piRNA from 1 species
UAAGAGAGUUUGACUUUAGAGUUCAACUGU